rnacentral:rRNA from 1 species
AUUGAACGCUGGCGGCAGGCCUCACACAUGCAAGUCUAACGAUUGGCUGACGGGUGAUUAGUGUAUGGGAGACUUCCUGAUGGAGGGGGGUAACUACGGGAAACGGAAGCUCAUACCGCAUACCAUCAGCUUUGACCAGGUGGGAUUAGCUAGUUGGUGGGGUAACGGCUCACCAAGGCGACGAUCCCUAGCUGGUCUGCGAGGAUGCCCAGCCACACUGGAACUGGGACACGGUCCAGACUCCUACGGGAGGCAGCAGUGGGGAAUAUGGCACAAUGGGCGCAAGCCGGAUGCAGCCAUGCCGCGUGUAUGAAGAAGGCCUUCGGGUUGUAAAGUACUUUCAGCGGGGAGGCGUUACCCGCAGAAGAAGCACCGGCUAACUCCGUGCCAGCAGCCGCGGUAAUAC